rnacentral:lncRNA from 1 species
AUCGUUUUCCUCAUCAUCACCCUCAUUCUCAUCCUCAUUAUCCUUAUCCUCAUUCUCAUCCUCCUCAUCACCCUCAGUCAGGGUGCCCUCUAUAGACUCAUUGCAUUUAUCCCAGACAACAUGUGAUCAAAAGACAUCCUACAUCAAAUUUCCAGACUCUCAGAGCAGGGUAUACAAGUGUCAUUGCACUGGAUACCGUCUCAUAUAGGAAUACCAUCAUGUGAAAAAGUUGACCGUUAUACGAGGCAGUUUCAGCCAAAGUCAAAGAGUUGUCAGAAAAGGUGAUCUUGUGUGAGACUCCCUGCCAAGACGAUAAGUUCCGGUGUGUCACAGACGGUGCCUGCAUUUACAACGAAUUUCGAUGCAACGGCGAAAGAGAUUGCAGUGACGGUAGUGACGAA